rnacentral:rRNA from 1 species
GACGAACGCUGGCGGCGUGCUUAACACAUGCAAGUCGAACGAAGUGGCGAACGGGUGAGUAACGCGUAAUCAACCUGCCCUUCAGAGGGGGACAACAGUUGGAAACGACUGCUAAUACCGCAUACUGAAGGAGGGGAUUGCGUCUGAUUAGCUAGUUGGAGGGGUAACGGCCCACCAAGGCGAAGAUCAGUAGCCGGUCUGGGAGGAUGAACGGCCAAAAUGGGAAGGAGACACGGCACAAAAUCCUAAGGGAGGCAGCAGUGGGGGAUCUUCCGCAAUGGGCGAAAGUCUGGCGGAGCAACGCCGCGGGAGUGAGGACGGCCUUCGGGUUGUAAAGCUCUGUUAAUCGGGACGCGGUACCGGAAUAGAAAGCCACGGCUAACUACGUGCCAGCAGCCGCGGUAAUAC